rnacentral:rRNA from 1 species
UACGGGGGGAGCAAGCGUUGUUCGGAUUUACUGGGCGUAAAGGGCGCGUAGGCGGUCGUGACAAGUCACUUGUGAAAUCUCCGGGCUUAACUCGGAACGGUCAAGUGAUACUGUCGGACUAGAGUACAGAAGGGGCAACUGGAAUUCUCGGUGUAGCGGUGAAAUGCGUAGAUAUCGAGAGGAACACCUGCGGCGAAGGCGGGUUGCUGGGCUGAUACUGACGCUGAGGCGCGAAAAGCCAGGGGAGCGAACGGGG